GAGGAAUAAGCAUCGGCUAACUUCCGUUGCAGCAGCCGCGGUAAUACGGGGGAUGCAAGCGUUAUCCGGAAUCAUUGGGCGUAAAGCGCCUGUAGGUUGUUUAAUAAGUCUGUUGUUAAAGACUAGGGCUUAACCCUAGAAAAGCAAUGGAAACUACUAGACUAGAGUAUGGCAGGGGUAGAGGGAAUUUCUAGUGUAGCGGUGAAAUGCGUAGAUAUUAGAAAGAACACCGGUGGCGAAAGCGCUCUACUGGACCAUUACUGACACUCAGAGGCGAAAGCUAGGGUAGCAAAAGGGAUUAGAUACCCCUGUAGUCCUAGCCGUAAACGAUGGAUACUACAUGUUGUGCAUUAUGUACAGUAUGGUAGCUAACGCGUUAAGUAUCCCGCCUGGGGAGUACGCUCGCAAGGGUGAAACUCAAAGGAAUUGACGGGGGCCCGCACAAGCGGUGGAGCAUGUGGUUUAAUUCGAUGCAGCGCGAAGAACCUUACCAGGACUUGACAUACUACAAAUUCUUUUGAGAAAAAGAAGUGCCUUCGGGAAUGUAGAUACAGGUGGUGCAUGGCUGUCGUCAGCUCGUGUCGUGAGAUGUUGGGUUAAGUCCCGCAACGAGCGCAACCCUUAUUUUUAGUUACCAAUUCGUUGGGUUCUCUAGAAAGACUGCCGGUGACAAACCGGAGGAAGGUGAGGAUGACGUCAAGUCAGCAUGCCCCUUAUGUCCUGGGCUACACACGUGCUACAAUGGUUAAGACAAAGAGUCGCGAGCUCGUGAGAGUCAGCUAAUCUCAUAAACUUAGCCCAAGUUCAGAUUGUAGGCUGCAACUCGCCUGCGUGA
rnacentral:rRNA from 1 species